rnacentral:lncRNA from 1 species
AGAUGGAGACUUGUGCUCAUAGGGUGGAGGUGGUGGAGAUUUGUAAAUGUAAGAUGGUGGAGGUGACGGUGAGGGAGGCGGUGGUGACUUGUAAAUGUAAGGUGGUGGUGGUGAUGGUGAUGGUGGUGGGGGUGACUUGUACUGGUAAGAUGGAGCCUUGUGCUCAUAUGGUGGUGGAGGUGACGGUGAUGGAGGUGGUGGUGACUUGUAAAUGUAAGGUGGUGGAGGUGAUGGUGAUGGAGGUGGGGGUGACUUGUACUGGUAAGAUGGUGCCUUGUGCUCAUAUGGAGGCGGUGGUGACGGUGAUGGAGGCGGUGGUGACUUGUACACAUAAG